CCAAUUAUACUGGUACUAAUGCACGGGAUCUCAUUAGAAUUAUGAAGAUAAGCAUGCUUUGGCGAGAGUAUUACUAGGAUGGGUGACCCUUGGGAAGUCCUCGUGUUGCACCCC
rnacentral:rRNA from 1 species